rnacentral:rRNA from 1 species
CGAACGGGUGAGUAACGCGUGAGCAACCUGCCUAUGACAGUGGGAUAGCCUCGGGAAACCGGGAUUAAUACCGCAUAAAAUCGUAGAAACACAUGUUUUAACGGUCAAAGAUUUAUCGGUCAUAGAUGGGCUCGCGUCGGAUUAGCUAGUUGGUGAGAUAACAGCCCACCAAGGCGACGAUCAGUAGCCGGUCUGAGAGGAUGAACGGCCACAUUGGAACUGAGACACGGUCCAA